rnacentral:rRNA from 1 species
GAUCCUGGCUCAGGAUGAACGCUAGCGACAGGCCUAACACAUGCAAGUCGAGGGGCAGCGGAGAGGCAGCAAUACCUUUGCCGGCGACCGGCGCACGGGUGAGUAACACGUAUGCAAUCCACCUGUAACAGGGGGAUAACCCGGAGAAAUCCGGACUAAUACCCCAUAAUAUGGGCUCUCCGCAUGGAGGGUUCAUUAAAGAGAGCAAUUUUGGUUACAGACGAGCAUGCGCUCCGA